ensembl:lncRNA
GGGAGGAAGAAUACAGGGAGAAGGAGAGGAAGAAUACAGGGAGAAGGUGAGGAAGAAUACAGGGAGAAGGAGAGGAGGGGGGUGAGGAAGAAUACAGGGAGAAGGAGAGGAGGGGGGGGAGGAGGAGAGAGAGGGGAUGAAGAAUACAGGGAGGAGGAGAGAGAGGGGAUGAAGAAUACAGGGAGAAGGAGAUGAGGGAAGGAUAAGGAUAUUGUUUGCCUUGACUUAGGGCUGUUCCCUGAAAAUAUAAAAAUGGUGGUCGACCGAGAGUCAUCAAUUGGUCGAAAUGUUGAAACGUAUUUUUCCGUAUGUAGACAGACACCCUAUGUGUUUGAAGAAAAUCAACUACAUAUGCACUGAGCUUGUCUGAUGCUUUAAGCACACUGUUUGAUUAAAUAAUUCAGAGGCACAAAUUACUCAGAGCCUGAUGUGUUAAAAGAAAAUGAUAGCAGGUGCCUAUGUGACUGGCACUUGUUGUCUCACUCUCCUCCCUACUGCAGUGGAAAAAAGGCACCACAGCACAGUAAAUUACCAAAAUCCCUAAUUUGUUUACAAAAAACAUACCCCAUUCCCCAUGAAAUAUAGGCCUAAGUAAGUUACGGUAUUAAGACUGAACAGGACACGCUCUUAGGCCUACAGCUGUGUGGUUAUACAAGGAUACUAUACAAAGACCACUAAUGACAUGACUUAUUAUCAUAAUAACAAUAAGGAGAUCAAGAAAAAGGAGGGUAUAGUUGUGAGAGCUGUGUGUAUAUUAUGUGUGACAAACAGGUGCUGUUAGAUUACAGUAUCAUUGUUCUGCCUGUUUGGAACAGUGUAAAUAACACUAAAUACAUUGUAAGUAAUACUGUUCUAACAAAAAUAAUUGUAAAGCCUUGAUUACAGCAGAGCAAAGAUUAAAACGGCCAAAUCUGGGAAAUUGCUUUAUGCAACACUUUGCUGCUGCAUGAGGCUCACAGAAUCAGUAAGUUAUUAAACACACAGUCAAACAGGAAACAGAAGCAGGAUCUGUCUUAUUUCUGGAGAUGUCUGUAUGUAUAUGGAGGAUUUAUGAAGCCAGGCACAUUUAACAGUUGAUUAUAGACUUCAUUAAAUUGGGGUUUCCUCUCUCC